GUGCUCGCUUUGGCAGCACGUAUACUAAAAUUGGAAUGAUACAGGAGAAGAUUAGGAUGGCCCCCUGCGCAGGAUGACAUGGAAAUUUGUGAAGCGUUUUCCUAUUUG
rnacentral:snRNA from 1 species